CCUACGGGAGGCAGCAGUGGGGAAUAUUGCGCAAUGGGCGAAAGCCUGACGCAGCGACGCCGCGUGAGGGAUGAAGGUCUUCGGAUCGUAAACCUCUGUCAGCAGGGAAGAACGGUCACUGUGCUAAUCAGCAGUGAAUUGACGGUACCUGCAAAGGAAGCACCGGCUAACUCCGUGCCAGCAGCCGCGGUAAUACGGAGGGUGCGAGCGUUAAUCGGAAUUACUGGGCGUAAAGCGCUCGUAGGCGGUAUGUCAAGUCAAGGGUGAAAUCCCCGCGCUCAACGUGGGAACUGCCAUUGAAACUGGCAAACUGGAGUGUGUGAGAGGAUAGUGGAAUUCCAGGUGUAGGAGUGAAAGCCGUAGAUAUCUGGAGGAACAUCAGUGGCGAAGGCGACUAUCUGGCACAUAACUGACGCUGAGGAGCGAAAGCGUGGGUAGCAAACAGGAUUAGAUACCCUAGUAGUC
rnacentral:rRNA from 1 species